rnacentral:rRNA from 1 species
AGUGAACGCUGGCGGUAUGCCUAACACAUGCAAGUCGAACGGCAGCACCGUAAGAGCUUGCUCUUACGGGUGGCGAGUGGCGGACGGGUGAGGAAUACAUCGGAAUCUACUUUUUCGUGGGGGAUAACGUAGGGAAACUUACGCUAAUACCGCAUACGACCUACGGGUGAAAGCAGGGGUUCUUCUGACCUUGCGCGAUUGAAUGAGCCGAUGUCGGAUUAGCUCGUUGGCGGGUGAAAGGCCCACCCAGGCGACUAUCGGUAGCUGGUCUGAGGGGAAGGUCAGACACCUUGGAACUGAGACACGGUCCAGACUCCUACGGUAGGCCGCAGUGGGGAAUAUUGCGCAAUGGGCGAGAGCCUGAUCCAGCACUACCGCGUGGAUGAAGAAGGCCUUCGGGUUGUAAAGCGCUUUUGUUGGGAAAGAAGAGCAGCAGGUUUAUCCCCCGCUGUUAUGACGGUACCCAAAGAAUAAGCACCGGCUAACUUCGUG